UACGGGGGGAGCAAGCGUUGUUCGGAUUUACUGGGCGUAAAGGGCGCGUAGGCGGCGUGACAAGUCACUUGUGAAAUCUCCGGGCUUAACCCGGAGCGGCCAAGUGAUACUGUCGUGCUAGAGUGCGGAAGGGGCUACUGGAAUUCUCGGUGUAGCGGUGAAAUUCGUAGAUAUUCGCAAGAACACCAGUGGCGAAGGCGGCCAACUGGGCCAUUACUGACGCUGAGGCGCGAAAGCGUGGGGAGCAAACAGG
rnacentral:rRNA from 1 species